rnacentral:rRNA from 1 species
CGAGUUACCGAGGUGCCGAAGGGAAACCGUGAAACGUGCCGCCUGGGAAGUACGGUCGCAAGGCUGAAACUUAAAGGAAUUGGCGGGGGAGCACCACAACAGGUGGAGCCUGCGGUUUAAUUGGACUCAACGCCGGGAAGCUCACCGGAUAAGACAGCAGAAUGAUUGUCGGGCUGAAGACUCUGCAUGACUAGCUGAGAGGAGGUGCAUGGCA